GCUUUUGUAGCUCAGGGGUAGAGCACUUCCUUGGUAAGGAAGAGGUCAGGGGUUCAAAUCCCCUCAAAAGCUC
rnacentral:tRNA from 3 species